rnacentral:lncRNA from 1 species
GGGAUCAUGUUGAACGCACAAUAAUCCAAUCUGGAUGACUCGGAAAACUUCGGUAUGAUUACUGGACUCCAAGAUCACUUCGUCUAUGAGUUGCAAUAAUUUAUCUUCUUUGUAGCUCAUCCAUGCCUGAAAUUUAAUGUUCUGAAUCAGCAGCAGGCUUAUAGAUAAUAAAUGUCGUAUAAUAUACUUCAUUCUUACAUGCCCUAGAAGGUUUAAGCUGUGAUCAGGAUGAGUGAAUAAUCUAUUUUUCACUCCGCUUAUGAUCUCUAGAAGCAGUACACCAAAGCUAUAAACGUCAGAUUUAACAGAGAAUUGCCCGUCAAUAGCAUACUCGGGGGACAUGUAACCACUGUGAGAAAAAACGUAUGAAUAUCAGUCAUAAGUCAUGAUGCAGAGAGCCACAGUAAAUUGCAGAGUCGAGAAAUUCUUACUAUGUCCCAACAACUCUUGAUGUAUUUGCUUCAGUUUCAUUUCCUCCAAAACUUCUUGCCAUGCCAAAGUCUGAAAUCUUUGGAUUCAUCUCAUGAUCAAGUAGAAUGUUACUGGCUUUGAGAUCUCUAUGUAUGACCCUUAGCUUUGAAUCCUGAUGAAGAUACAUAAGUCCCCGAGCAAUUCCAUUUAUUAUGUUGCAUCGUUUUGGCCAGUCCAUUGUGUUUCUUGAAUUUUCAUCUAUUAAUUUUUCAUCAAAUUAGUCCAUGAAGGAAAUGUCCAUGAUAAACCUCAGAAAAAUAACAUUGACACAUAUACAUUUAUGAUUAUGAUAUAAUAUUCUCAGGUCGGGUCAUACCGAAAAUAAUUGAAUCUAGACUUCUGUUAGCCAUAUAUUCGUAAAUUAAAAUCCUUUCUCCUUUUUCUGUGCAACAACCAAGAAGUGUCACAAGAUUUCUGUGCUGAAGUUUGGCAAUACAAGAUACUUCAUUUUUGAACUCAUCUAGUCCUUGACUUGAAUUGCUUGAAAGCCUUUUCGCAGCUAUUUCUUGUCCACCAUCCAACAUGCCCUGAAAAUAAUGGCUGCAAUAAGUAAGUGUUUGUGUGCGUGUGUGUGUGUGUGUGAGAUGGCAUAUUAUGGCUAUUUGUUGUGAUCUAUCACUACUCACUAGUAUCACCUUGUAUACAGGUCCAAAGCCACCCUCUCCAAGUAUCUUGUCUGGGGAGAAGUUACUUGUGGCAUUUGCAAUCGUUUUGAAGUCAAACAGUGGCAAAUCCAGAUCUUCAUUCUCAACUUUGGUCAGGUGAACACUUUCCGAACUUAAUUUUAAGCUCUCUGCAAAUUUUAAAGUUGAACAUAUAUGCAAAGUGAGAAACUAUUCAAAUGGUAUCCACCAAAUUUCUGAUUAAGAAUUUAGAGGUAAUUAUUAGGUUUCCUUUUUUAAAAUUCAGUUUAAUUUUGUUCCCAAGAAGCUAGGAUCUGCAUUUUAUGGCACUACUAUUUUCUCUUGAUCAAAAUUAAAAAAAUUCUGUAUUCGAUAAGAGUUACUGUAGCAGUGAAUAAGUUACCUUCUUUCUGCAGCUUUCUCAUCCUGUGUACAAGAUGUAAUAUUCCACCAAGUAACACUACUGUUAGGACUGCAAUGACCACUAAUUUUUUCUUUCCUCGCGAGCUCCAG